rnacentral:misc_RNA from 1 species
AUUCAUGUGCAGGAUCAAUUUUCAAGAUACCUAAGGUGCCAUAUGAAACUCAAUAUGUUGCGCGUAAUUUUUCAUUAACUUAAACCUAUCAUAAACAGAAUUAGUAUCUUCUAUCAAAUUUAUCAUGAACAAUCAAUUUUAUCUAGACUCUAGACUAAGUCUCUGCAAGUUUCCACUAUCCAUAAGCAUCCUAAGACCAGCUUUCAGUUCUGGUACCCCUUCCUCCAAGACAGCACAUACUGGAUAUAUAGAAACACCCUGAACUCUUCUUUUCAAUUCUUCAUACACUUCUUCAGCCCCUGCCUCAUCAAUUUUAUUCGCCACAACCAAGGAUGGCCGAUCAGACAGGCCAUCUUGAUGAUGCUCAAGCUCUAAAACUAAAUCUUUCAAUUGUUCCCAUGGUGGAAAUCCCUUUCUACCAUCUAAUCCAGCAACCAAGUCUAGCACAUAAGCCAAAACCUUAGUACGUUCUAUGUGCCGUAGGAAAGCAUGUCCAAGUCCAC